GCACUUCUGAAGAGUCCUACGAUAGGACGAAACGGCCGUCCAAUGU
rfam:Schistosoma margrebowiei strain Zambia genome assembly, scaffold: SMRZ_scaffold0002305